GACGAACCGUGCGAACGUUGUUCGGAUUCACUGGGCUUAAAGGGCGCGUAGGCGGGUGACCAAGUCCGGGGUGAAAUCCUCCGGCUCAAUCGGAGAACGGCCCCGGGUACGGGCGGCCUCGAGGGGGGUAGGGGCGUGCGGAACUGUGGGUGGAGCGGUGAAAUGCGUUGAUAUCCACAGGAACUCCGGUGGCGAAGGCGGCACGCUGGACCCCAUCUGACGCUGAGGCGCGAAAGCCAGGGGAGCGAACGGG
rnacentral:rRNA from 1 species